GAUGAACGCUGGCGGCGUGCCUAAUACAUGCAAGUCGAGCGAACAGACGAGGAGCUUGCUCCUCUGACGUUAGCGGCGGACGGGUGAGUAACACGUGGAUAACCUACCUAUAAGACUGGGAUAACUUCGGGAAACCGGAGCUAAUACCGGAUAAUAUAUUGAACCGCAUGGUUCAAUAGUGAAAGACGGUUUUGCUGUCACUUAUAGAUGGAUCCGCGCCGCAUUAGCUAGUUGGUAAGGUAACGGCUUACCAAGGCAACGAUGCGUAGCCGACCUGAGAGGGUGAUCGGCACCAAUGGAACUGGACCACGGUCCAGAACCCCACGGGAGGCAGCAGGAGGGAAUCUUCCGCAAUGGGAGAAAGCCUGACGGAGCAACGCCGCGUGAGUGAUGAAGGUCUUCGGAUCGUAAAACUCUGUUAUUAGGGAAGAACAAAUGUGUAAGUAACUAUGCACGUCUUGACGGUACCUAAUCAGAAAGCCACGGCUAACUACGUG
rnacentral:rRNA from 1 species